GACGCCAUUUGGCUAACAGAAACACACAGAGGGAAUCGCAGAAUCGUUUUUAUGGCCGCUGCGCCCCCUGAAUGAUAAUGAUAAUCGAGUCCCAACUGGGUGAAUCUCUGGCUUCGCCCUGUCCACCGGACAGUGCAGUCCAGCCAAGUCGAUUCUGGUUGCCUCUGUGAAUUUUUCUGCCUGAUUGUGCGCACGCGCUCAUAAUCAAAGAGCCUUCUCCUCCCAAACCCGCCAACUUGGCCAACUCGCUGCUGGGCUGGCCUUUUAUGAUGG
ensembl:ncRNA lncRNA:CR44199 long non-coding RNA:CR44199